GCCGAAGCAGAAAUGUCACUUGUGUUAGCCGUUUUUUUUUUUUUUUGGCAGCUGUAGCUCAUUUGUUUGAGCAGGUCAUCCAGCGACUUAAGGAUCACGAGUUCAAAUCCGAGUUGUGACUGCAUGCUGUUGAAAUAUCCUUGGGCAAGACACUGACAUUAUUUGCUCCCAGUAGGUAUUUAGUAGCCGCCCUUUGGUGCAUGAAAUGUACUGUUAAGUGCACUCCAAUUAUCGUUUCAACUCUUACUGUGAAAUGUUGGUUGGUUACCACUUCCUGUUUUUGUUCCAUUUGCAAAAUAAGAAUCUCAGCUGGUAACGCAACUUUUUAUGAAUACAGGACCUUUGAUUUGGAUAUUUUAUUGUGUGCCUUUUGAAUCCAUCAAAAUGUUGACUGUUACGUUAGCUUCUCAUGCUAGCUGGUAACUUCUUAGCUGCCGGAUGCUUGUCGCUUGUCAUCAACAGAGUUGGCCGGGAGCAGGAAGACCAGCAGUGUCAUGGAUGAGAGAAGCACACAUGGAAUGAGGAGGUUGAGAGCAUAGUACAGGGUCCGCCGUCGUAGGGUGACCACGAAGGUCACGUCAGGGCAACCCUUCCAGGGUGUUAACAGUCAGCCUCACCCAGUAGGUCCCACUCUCCACUGGGCAUGUAUCCCGACACGUCUGCCUCCU